rnacentral:pre_miRNA from 1 species
GGGCAAUAUCAGGCCUUCGGACUCGUCCUGUCGGCGUCAAGUCGUAGCAGCCUUCGGCCAUCCACUCGGCGUAAUAGCGCUUGACAUGCGCUUUGAAGGGCUUGUUAAGC